GCCGCUGCCCGGGGCAUGAAGCGGGAGUCGGAGCUGGAGCUGCCGGUGCCCGGAGCGGGAGGAGACGGAGCCGAGCCCGGCCUGAGCAAGCGGCCGCGCACCGAGGAGGCGGCGGCCGACGGCGGCGGCGGGAUGCAGAACGAGCCUCUGACUCCAGGUUAUCAUGGAUUCCCAGCGAGGGAUGGCCAGGGUAACCAGGAGCCAACAACAACUCCUGACGCAAUGGUUCAGCCUUUUACUACCAUCCCAUUUCCACCACCUCCACAGAAUGGAAUUCCCACAGAAUAUGGAGUGCCACACACUCAGGACUAUGCCGGCCAGACCAGUGAGCAUAACCUGACACUCUACGGAAGUACACAAGCCCAUGGAGAGCAGAGCAGCAACUCACCCAGCACACAAAAUGGAUCUCUUACGCAGACAGAAGGUGGAGCACAGACAGAUGGCCAGCAGUCACAGACGCAAAGUAGUGAAAAUUCAGAGAGUAAAUCUACCCCAAAACGGCUGCAUGUCUCUAAUAUUCCUUUCCGCUUCCGGGACCCUGACCUCCGGCAGAUGUUUGGGCAGUUUGGCAAAAUCCUAGAUGUAGAAAUAAUCUUUAAUGAACGUGGCUCUAAGGGAUUCGGGUUCGUAACUUUCGAGAAUAGUGCUGAUGCAGACAGGGCCAGGGAGAAAUUACACGGCACCGUGGUAGAGGGCCGUAAAAUCGAGGUAAAUAAUGCUACAGCACGAGUAAUGACCAAUAAGAAGAUGGUCACACCAUAUGCAAAUGGUUGGAAAUUAAGCCCAGUAGUUGGAGCUGUGUAUGGUCCUGAGUUAUAUGCAGCAUCCAGCUUUCAAGCAGAUGUAUCCCUAGGCAAUGAUGCGGCAGUGCCCCUAUCAGGAAGAGGGGGCAUCAACACUUACAUUCCUCUAAUCAGUCUCCCUUUAGUUCCUGGCUUCCCUUACCCAACUGCAGCCACCACGGCGGCUGCUUUCAGAGGAGCCCAUCUGAGGGGCAGAGGGCGGACAGUAUAUGGUGCAGUCCGAGCAGUACCUCCAACAGCCAUCCCCGCCUAUCCAGGUGUGGUUUACCAGGACGGAUUUUACGGUGCUGACCUCUAUAAUAGUCUUACAGGAACCAAUCAUUAGCGCUAAAAUACCUCAGGGUGGAUAUGCAGCCUACAGAUAUGCGCAGCCUGCUACUGCAACCGCAGCCACCGCCGCUGCAGCCGCUGCAGCCGCUUACAGUGACGGUUACGGCAGGGUGUACACAGCCGACCCCUACCAUGCCCUUGCCCCUGCCGCUAGCUAUGGAGUUGGCGCUGUGGCGAGUUUAUACCGAGGUGGCUACAGCCGAUUUGCCCCCUACUGAAGUGACGUGAGACCCCAGCAAAUGGGACAGCCCCCCAGUUCAUGAGGCCUGGCUAUUGCAAUAUUUACUAGUAGAGGAACUCUAUAGCAAGAUGAAGAGGAAAAACAAACAAACAAACAAAAAAAAAAACACAAAAAAAGAGAGAAUACUUUUUUAUACCUCACUAUGUUCUUUGAAUAUGUAUUUUUCCUUUAAAUUUCUGCCUUUAAUUCUUUUGUUCCAAAGAUUGUGCAUUUUUUUCUUUUUUUCUUUUUUUUAACUGUGGUAAAAAAAAAAAAAAAAAAUAAUGCAUUUCCAUGUCUGUAUGUCCGUGCUUAGCUUAUUCUAUCACGGAAGAGGCAGUUAAGGAAGAAGGAGAGACUUAGGAGCUGAUAAGUGCACCUGAUCAGAAAUCAGCAGACAGAGUUACCAAAGUGUAUUUGGUGCUGAAUGGCUGGGGAACAAGCAGAAGUGGAAGGGAUCUUUCUGCAAAAGGAUAUUCUUCUAGUCUUCUGAGUUUCUGGUCUUUGGCAGGCAAUUCUGAUUGGCUGUGGCUGGAAUCCACAUGCUGAUAGAUAGGAAUUUGUGCUUGUAAAGCCAGAGAAUUAAAAAGAUGCUUUCCUCUCCUCUUCCCUCCUGUCCUCUCCAUUCUUUUUACAAUCAUCUUACAUGCACAGCCUGAGACAGUUGGCAUAGUUUUUGGAAUUAUAGUCUUGAUAUUUCCAAACAUGCUCUCAGACUGUGGAUAAUAAACACCUCAUUAGGAAACCGAUCUCAGAAUGAACUCUGGAGUAUGAAAAAGAACAUUUCUUUUCUUUUCCUAUAAUCCUAGCAUUCCUGCUGGGCUUCUUCCCCUUUAAUUGAACCUCAGCGUAGCUCAUCUAUUCUUUUAUUAACACCCUGCUCUCAUGUCCUCAAGAUUCAGGAAUUUAGGAUCCAGGGACAGAAGAAUAAGCCAGUGACCAGAUAUCUGCCACAGGUAUCUGGAUACAGCUUGAGAAUUAGAAGUACAAAUUGCACACAGCCAUUAAAGAGGGAAAGGAAGAGAAAAGGAAUAUUAGAAGAUCUAGUAUUUCUUAUCUUUUUCUUAUAUCAGAAAGUCCAAACAAAGUAUGAAAAAUGUAAUAAAGACUUUGUUGGGAAAAGAAAACACCAGGUCUAGGUCAGUUGUCUCUGGAAGUUUGGGUGAUUAGGACAUGUGAGGGCAGGCAGAGGCACUUUGUACUUUCUCCAAAGCCAUAGGAAUUUUCAUCUUCCAGAGCCUUUAUGAGUCACUUCUUUAUCCACAGUCUUGAGCCCUUGUGGCUAUUCCACCCAGCUUCUUGUUAUCCUCCAAAGACACCCAGCUGAGCACCUGGACCACUUGGUAUACAUGAACACUACAGGACAUAAAAUACAGAGCCCUGAGGUUGCUCCCCUCCCAUAUUGGAAGGAGGGUCUGAAAUGGCAAGGAUCUUAUAUAUUGCCAGAAAGAGUCAUGCAGUGGCCACAGCAGUGAGUCACUGGUAUUGCCAUCAGUCUGGCUUUAAUUUUACAUAUUAUCAAAGUAGGGGAGAAAGUGUUUCUCUUCUAGCUAUUAGAUACAACUGACAAAAGCAAGUGUCCUACAGCAUUUCCAAAAUGAAGGCAUUAGGAAAUAGGAAAGCACGGUCUUUUUGGCUCCCUGGUCUAUUCACAUUGGUACUAGGGUGACCUUUCACCCAAGGGAUAGCUGCUAAAGGGAGUAAUUCAGAGACAUGGAGCUUCUGGUUUGUUAUGGAUUUGUUUUUGGUUUGUUUUUUUAACUCCUGCCUCCACACAUGUUCUUGACUUGCAACUGAUUCAUGUCCCUGAAUUAAAAUGACUGACAUAUGACAGCAUCAAGCAUUCUUUGUAAGCAGAGUGAUAUAUCUGGGAGGGCACUGGCCUGUCAUAGAUAAUACAUAUCUUCGCCCCCUUCAGAGUCCUCUCCCCUAAUAACUGGGAGAGAGGCUGUGCCUAAACCUAGGGGAGACAUCAAGGAAGCUAGAGGCCUCGAUGCAAUUAUUACUGAUUUGGGGGAGGAAAACAUAGAAUAAGGGGAUACCAAACUGCCCAGUCCAUUGGCCAUUUAUUAAGGGUCCCCCCCACCCCAAGCCAAAGUUUGGUUUGUUGCUGUUAUGACAAUUUUUGUUGUAUGUAUAUAAAUAUUUUAGUUAGAGGAGGGGGAGUGGGAUGUGGGGCUUUCACAGUUCUAGGGAAUGGGGGCAGGGAUGAUUUUUCUUUUUAUUUUGAGGGAGAACUUUUACUGUACUAAAGAAACAAAGAAAUUUGGGGUCAUAAUCAAAUAGGGGCCAUUCUCAGAAAAUGGCAAGCCACUUACUCGGUGGAGACAAGGCCAAAUUCUAAAUGGUUGUAUCCAUAGCAGGGGAGGAGAAUGGGGGAAUGAGUUUAAAAUUUUCUCUCUUCUUUUUUCCUAGAAAAAGAUAAGGAUGAUGGGAAAGGUAGAGAAUUAGUUCCCACAGCCCUUUAAAAGGCAGAACUUGAGCUUGAGGUACCUUUCGUGCAUUUCAGUUCAGCUGGUUCUGGCUGAGGCCUCUGAAGGCAAGCUCUGUUGUUUUCCAGUGGGUUUCUGCUGCAUUUCCAGGGAUGGUUCUUAAUAACCACUUCCUCCAGCUCCCUUUUCUAAGAAAGACUAGAUGGAGUUCUGCUUUUUAUGAAAGAGCCUUUGAUUUUCAGUGUCAGCACUGAGCAUUGGAGUUCUCCUAAGCAUCUAGAUUUCCAUGGUGUCAACCUCCCCAUCAGCUUUUGAACUUUGAGACUCCAUACAGUCAAAUUCAUCAGAGGCAGGUUCCUCAAAGCAGAAAUGCUUGUGUAUUCCCGACUCUGCUUCUCAUCAGAUUAAGAUACGGAGUCAGAGGAGUCUGACAUUUAGUGAAGGAUGCUGGUUGAUAAUUCCAAAAUACUUACUGAUGCUGAAUCACAAUCCAUGAAUGAUCUUUUUGAGCUUUACUGUAGUUCAUGAUCUGGACUUUUUCUCUACUGAGCAUUUUACUCUUAGAAGCUGGGCUCCUUUAACCAGACCUCUAGAGACCUUUAUCCAGUAUCCCUCUUUCAGCCCAGAAAGCUGCCCUUAGGUCUUUUCCAGAAGUCCUUGUGUUGCUUAGUUUGACUCCCAUCAACUCAGAUCCGCCAUUGUGAUUCAUCAUUUUUAAGGCUCAGGUUUAACAGAACCUACCAUCACCAUCAUCCUCCAACAGCCACAGUCAGAAUUGAGCCAGCAGAUUAUUUUCCUUGAAAAAGAAGCAGCCUGGGGCUAGUGGAGAUCUAGUCAAUAGAAAUAAGUGAUAGCAGCUUAUUCUCAAAUGCACGACUCCUCAGGGGCUGAACUGCUCUUAGUUUAGGAUAAGCUUUACUAGAGAUAAUAGCAGAUAAGUUGGUUAAUCACUACCAUUCUAAACCUAGUCAUUUAGCUUCCAGAUACAAGGGAGGUUUCAGAUGGAAGCAACCCCUAGGAUAUGCAAGAAGGGCAUGGUAACCCCCCCUCCCUCUGGCAGGAGAUCAAAGCCGACCCAGGGACAGUUGGCUCUUAGACACUAAGGAGGGAAGAGGGGAAGCUGCUAGAUGUGCCUUCCCCUUUUGCCCAGUCCAGCGGCUCUCUGCUGCUCACAACAGUAACAUUUGCAGACUUGCAGGUUUUUCCCCCACAUAUUAGGAGGAAAGGGACUUUGGGGGGUGGGGAAGGGUUCGUGGUGUUUUAAAAGCAUAAGUUACCUGUUUGCACUGUUUUAAGAUAGGAAAAAAAUAGUGGGCAAGGUGAACAUCAGACGUAAAUUUGUGUGUUUUUAUUUUGUCAUGAUCUUGAAAAUGUUUGACCAUUUGUAGUAUACACAGUGAAACUUGAUUCUCUGUUGCAUAAAAACACUUUUUGGUUUUUUUUUUGGUUUGAAAAUGUUACUGUCCAAAAGCCUCUUCCCUCCCUUUCCCUUUCCUGUGUAUUUCCUUCAUAUUUGCUUUACUGAUCACCCAGGCAAUAGCCAUCCAAGAGCCAGAGCAUGAAACAGGGCCCUUUCCAAGUAGGCUCUGGGUGUCCUAAGCCAGCGUGUGCCCUUUGGUUUAGUGAGUGCAGUAGAGUCUCUGGCACCUUUCUCUGAAAGUAAGGCAUACAGAGCGGACUGCAGCAAGUUAUUAGAUUCCUGCAUCAGAUGCACUAGAAAAGAGGAGCCGAGGGAUGGAAUGGAGGAGAUUCCUGAAGUUCCGCAGUUGGCUGUAGUAGCUGAGUUCUUAUCCAUGUUACCGGAACUGUAGCCAGUUACAGUUUACUCAGGAAACGGUAGAUCAAUUCAGCCAUGGUAGUGCUGGUUGGCAGGGAUUGGUAACUGAGAGAACUGCUUCUCAGCCAAAAUGCAGACCUUGCCUUCAAGGAGACACCCAGCCUGGGGGCCCUGGCCUUCUGGGUCUGGUGAUUGUGUACAUGCUGGCAACGUGAGGGCUCCACUCACCCUGGCGAGCAAAAAGGGAACAGCGAUUCUCUUUACUUUCCCCAGCCCCAGACCCUAUUACCAACACCAAUUUCCCAGAGAGUUACAUGAGUUUUGAAUUUUUUAAAAAUUUUGUUUUUCCAGGAAGUGCUAAGUGCUUUAAGCAAUGUUUAUACCCCAGUAAGACUCCCAGCUUAGUCAUUUUCUUGUAUUUUUCUGUUCACAGUAUUUUUUCUUGUGUGCCUAUGUGUGUGUGCUUGUUUUGGCAGCUCAUUUUGGCUGUAUUAUAUAUCAAGUGAUGAAUUGGUCUUAUUUUUUCCCAAAGGGAUAUGAAUUUUUUUUCUUGUGUUUUAAUUCUGCUUGUGAAUAGCUGGAGCAACCUGGGGCUGACACAUGUAAGCUAGGGCUACGAAGUGAGAAGAGAGCCAGUGGAGUUUACUUGUCCCCUACAGGCCGACCUACCUGAGUCUCUGAGCUUUCAGUCCAAAUCUUUGCAAGGCUCAAAAUGCGACAGAACCUCUCCUCUUCUCCCCACUCCCUGUGGCAGGGACUAGACCAUCCCUACAUGCAACAUGCGGUUUCUCUGGCCCCCUCCCAUUGCCAUGGCAAAACAGGUACCUUUGGGGCAUGGGGGCAUCACAUGGGAUGCUUGUGUAAGACCACCUAGCCUUCUCUUCCCCUCCCUUCCUCUCCCAGAAUCACUUCCUAGGACACCCGAGCUGCUUGCCCAGGGUCCUGUUUCCCUGCUAACUCCAGAGAAGCAUCCCAGGGCUUUGUGACAGUCUCUAAUUCCCUUCCCUUCUCGUUAAGAAUCAUAUUGUAUAGUAGCUUUCAGACCAUACAGUAUUCAUUGGGUUACUCCUAUUAUUAUCAAGUAGCUGGAAUUGUGAAGGUCGGAGUAGUUAGAUCUUUAGCUUUUAUUCCUUAUUUUUUUGUAUUACUCUCCAUGUGUAUAAAUUAUUGAUCAUGUUGCUGGCUUUUAUAAACUCUAAGCAAAGGAAGAGCACUGCCUCAGCCUUUGCAAAUGGUAAUGAAGCACUGUUUUUAAAUAAAAGAGAGAAACACCA